CGAAAUCUGGUGCUGGUGACUUGAGGAAUCACUCUGCAUUUCAUUAAAUAAAUAUAUUGUUAAAUAUAGAAAGCAAAUAACCGAAUCCCUUAAAUUGUUGUGUAUAUGUUCAUCAUUUAGUAUGGUUAUGAAUUUCAUUUAUGUGCUCAUCUCUAUGUGAAGUCGAAUAACAGUAUAAACAUUGACAUAUUUGAAACGCACUUGAUUACAGAGUUAUUUACCUUAUUAACAAAUGCGCUAUUGUGUGCACUGCUGUUUUUUAUGUUGGCACAAUGAGAUUUCCAGAAGACAAACGAGACUUUUAAAGUUAACAUAUCCAUUUUGUUAUAGCAGGUGAAGAUGAAUUACCUCAUUGCCAGGUCUUUUUAAACGCGGCACAGUUUUAAUUUGCUACUAACGUUAUUAUUGGAAUUAAAAAUACAAGUUUAAUACAAAGUCGCAACGUGGAUAUGCCGACAUCAAACAAACGCCAAAAGUGUUUCUGCUACUUCUGUGGAAGGAUUUUUAGUGCAGAAGUCAUAGUCUCGUUCCAUAUCAAAAACAUCCAUGAACAAACAAUUCGCAACUCGCUUUGUCUGCGGUAAAAACAUGUAGCACAGUUUUAAACAUGAAAAGACAUCAACGCGUCGUCCACUUGAAAAAAGGGCCUCAUACGUGUUUUGUAUGCAACAAACAUUUGCUUGAAGGCGAGACAUUAACUAACAUAUGAGCAAGUCUCAUGGCAACGGAUACAAAUACAAGUGUGAAAAUUGGUGCAAGGAGUAUGCGUACAAACGAAGUACUGAACGACACGUGGCUGUGUGUGGCAGACAAAAACCAGAAGUCAUAUGUGAAAAGUUCAAAGAGCAUGUUGGGAAUGAAAUGAGGCCAACGGGCUGUUUGAUUUUAUUUAUGUAACGACUACAUUGUAUGCAUGUUUUAAUUACGUUAAUUGCUUAAUAUGUUUUGCUUCAGUAUAUAUUUUAUAUGUAAUUAAAGACAAUUUGUUUGUUUUUGUUUUAUUUUAAACUGCAUAAACUUUAUGCUACUGAGAUAAAAAAAAAUAUGCUUUAGAUUAAACUGUAUAACAUAUAUGAAAGUUUGCUCAAUAAUUGUAUUUCUUUCCCCUCUGAUAUUUGAUUAAAUUAUCAGUUAAUAAAUUUUAACGUACAUAUCAAAAUGCAAUUCAAGGUUGAAAUUUGACCACACUCGUAGUAAGUUUUUUUGUUUCCACUAACAUUGCCAAAACGUAGGGAAGGUAGGUCAGCGAAACUUUUUUCGUUUGACGUUGUUUACCUGUGCAAGAUAUUUUCAACUAAGCAAGUUCUUCUAAAUGUGUUUUCUGCUCCAAUUAGAAGUUAUUUUGGCACCAGAUUUGCAAAAUUAUCUUUAUAAUACCCAUAGCAAUUAGAUGUAAGAUUUAUCUUACUCUUAUAUAUUUUGUUUUACUUAAAACCGAUAUUUGAAGUUGAAAACUUGAUCAACAUUCUCCUUUGUUGAAGUGAAAUAUGUUCAUAAAGUUUUGGCUAUAGAUGCUGAACUGUAUUUUUAUAAUAUGUAUAGUCUCUUAUAACUCAAUUGUGAGUGGCAUUUAUGUACUAUGUUUUAAAGCUAUUUUAUAUAUGUUUUACUAGGUACAUGAUGAUGAGACUUUAAUAAACUAUCUUAUCUA